CACCAUAAUGUUGAAAAGGAAGACAAGGAUACGGCCUGUUGAUGAUGCCAGGACACACAUUCUGUCUUUGAGGGACAAGCCUGGGUUUAUGGAACGAUUUAUCGAUAAUAAAAAAGGUAGAGGAGUGUUUGCUACCCAGCCUGUGGAAGCCGGAGCUUUUGUUUUUGGAGUACAGGGGUGAACUCAUUUCAGCAGAAGAAUGCCGGGCGAGAGACUACACUGAGUUACAGAGCACAUUCCUGUUCGAAUUUGAGUGGCAGAAGCGUCACUGGUGUAUUGAUGCAUCCAAAGAAGACGGUUCUCUUGGAAGAUUGAUUAAUGACAACCACAAAUCUCCAAACUGCACCAUGAAAAAAAUCAUAGUAAACGACACGCCACAUUUGUGUCUAUUUGCUGUGAAGAAAAUUGAAAUAGGAAGUGAAAUCGAAUACAACUACGGUGAUUCACAAUGGCCGUGGCGUAAAAAGGAGCCAAAGCAGCAGACUUCUGUUAUAGAGACCAAAACAUCCCUAACAGAUCACUCUUCCCAUGAUGCCUCCAACAAAGAUGCUGUCGUCACGCAGGAGCCAAAGCAGCAGACUUCUGUUAUAGAGACCAAAACAUCCCUAACAGAUCACUCUUCCCAUGAUGCCUCCAACAAAGAUGCUGUCGUCACGCAGGAGCCAAAGCAGCAGACUUCUGUUAUAGAGACCAAAACAUCCCUAACAGAUCACUCUUCCCAUGAUGCCUCCAACAAAGAUGCUGUCGUCACGCAGGAGCCAAAGCAGCAGACUUCUGUUAUAGAGACCAAAACAUCCCUAACAGAUCACUCUUCCCAUGAUGCCUCCAACAAAGAUGCUGUCGUCACGCAGGAGCCAAAGCAGGUAUUUACCAUCAAAGGGUUUUCUCUAGUGAACUAUACCGAAAGUGAUGAGACGGAUGAGGAGUAUAUUAAAGACAACCCUCCCAGUCCACACUGUGAUGUUGUUCGAAAGAAGACGAGGAAUGGAAACAUUCAGGUGGUUGGAGUAGCUGAUUUUUCUGAUCCUCUGUUUGACUCAAAUGAGAGUAUAGUAGAUGAAACUGAUGAGGAUUCUAGUCUGCAGUCAGACAAUGAAGUUGUUCCAAAAAAUUUUUUGAUGGAUAGAGUACCAAAUUUUUCUGUUCCUCUUAAUGAGUCAAGUGAUGACAGCAUAAAUGAGCCUUCCACUCCUAUGUCUGGAAUGGCUUCACAAAGGCCGAGGAGAAACUGUCACCGUCCUAUUCAAAGGAGUCUUGUAGAAUCCGAUGACUCCUGUUAUGAUAGUGAAGAUGAUUAUAUUCCAAAUCCCAGGGAGGAAAGCAAUGACAGUGACUGCAGCUUGGAGUUAUCCCUGGAAAAUAAAAAAAAGAAUGUCAAAAUGUCAUCCAUUAGUCAGUGCAGAAACAAGUCUUCAAGUCAGAGCCGAUUUAAGUCCAGUCAGAACAAAAGUGAGUCUUCAAGUCAGAGCCGAUUUAAGUCCAGUCAGAACAAAAGUGAGUCUUCAAGUCAGAGCCGAUUUAAGUCCAGUCAGAGCAGAAGAUUUGAAACAAGUCAUGACUCGGCACAAAGAUUUCCUGAUAGCCUAGAAGAAGGAAGACACAAGGAGACAAGUGUUUCAAUGCCACCUGAAGAAGAGCCAUCGGUCUUUGUUAAUCCAGUUUUAAAGAAGGAGGAUGGUUCCAGAAGAUAUAAUAAAAAACAUCAUUGCUUGUAUUGUGGACAGGUAGUUCAGAAAAUGUCCAGACACUUGUCGCGUAGACACAGCGAUGUGGUUGAGGUCGCAAAGGCAUUAAGCUUGCCAAAGAAUUCAAAAGAAAGGCGACGACAGUUGGAUUUUCUCAGAAACAAGGGUAACUUUGAACACAACACUCAAGUUUUGGAGAGUCGCAAAGGCAAACUUAUCCCAUGGAAGCAGCCAAAGAAAAUGACAGAUGGACAAGAAUUCAUGCACUGUGUUUACUGCUAUGGAAUGUUCCGAAAAAGAGCGAUGUGGCGUCAUUUUCAGGUCUGUAAUUUCAAGCCUCAGGGUAAGACAUCUAAACGAGGUAAAACAAGAGUUCAAGCUUUGUGUGCAUUUGCUGAACCUGCUCCAAGUGGAUUUAGCGACGCGUACUGGAAGUUCUUAAGUGGUAUGAAUCAGGAUGAGGUUGCAGUUGCUAUUAAGGAAGACCGCUGCAUUCUUGAGUAUGGUUACAGACAGUUCAGAAAGAAUGAGUAUGUAAUCAGCCAGCACCAAUAUAUUCGACAAAAACUGAGAGAGCUUGGCAGACUGGUACUGGAAGCAAAAAAGUUGACACAUGUGAAGACUAUCAAAGAACUCAUAAAGCCUGAAAAGUACACUCAUGUUGUCUCGGCUGCAAGAUGCCUUGCUGGAUUCAGUGGUGAAACUGGCAAAUAUAAACGUCCGUCUCUAGCUCGCAAAGUUGGACAUGGCUUGCAUGCUUUAGCCAUGUUUAUCAAAUCUGAAGGAUUGAAGAUGAAAGAUCAACAGACUGCCAAAGAUGCUGAGGAAUUUGCACUGCUAUACCAAGAAAGUUGGAAAUUUGACAUUGCAAGUCAAGCGCUAACUCAGCUUAACCAGACCAAGUGGAAUUCUCCUCAGAUUCUACCAUUCACACAGGAUGUCCAAAGACUGCAUUGCUAUUUGUCUGAGAAACAGCAGAAGCAAUUGAAUGCCCUGCAAGAAGAGCCUUCUCCCUUGAACUGGAAGGACCUUGCUAAAGUGACCCUGGCGCAAGUUAUCCUCUUCAACCGACGAAGAGCAGGAGAAGUAUCCCGAAUGUCCUUGUCGGCGUUCAUGUCAAAGGAUACAUCAGAAACGCACGAAGAUGUUAACUUAGCCCUUACAGCACUCGAGCAGAAGCUUUGCAAACAUUUUGUUCGGAUUGCCAUAGUAGGAAAGAGAGGGAGGAAAGUCCCUGUUCUCCUUACCCCGGUCAUGAGAGAAUCGAUCGAUACUCUGACUGAAAAGCGAGAAGAAUGUGGAGUACUGAGUGAAAACGGAUACUUGUUUGCAUUGCCGCUCUCUGUCCAUUACUUGAGGGGUUCUGAUUGCAUUAGGCAGUUUGUGAAUGAAUGUGAUGACCUCAAACAUCCCAAAGCGCUAACCUCAACAAAACUUAGGAAACACAUUGCUACUCUGUCGACUGUUCUGAAUCUCAAGACUACAGAACUCGACCAAUUGGCAGAUUUCCUUGGGCAUAACAUCGAGGUCCACAGAAAGCACUACCGCCUUCCAGAGGGCACCCUCCAGCUAGCUAAAAUAAGCAAAGUUCUUCUAGCGCUGGAACAGGGACGGCUAGGAGAAUACAAGGGGAAGAAUCUGGAUGAAAUCCAGCUUGAUGUGACUGAGACUGUUGACAUGGAUGGGUGUUCACAAGAGGAAGAUGACUUUAUUCCAGAAGUACAGGAGCCUGAAGUUGAGGACAGUGUGGCAUCCACACAGGAACCUACUUCCACACAGGAACCUACUUCCACACAGGAACCUACUUCCACACAGGAACCUACUUCCACACAGGAACCUACUUCCACGCUUCAUUCCCAAUACCAGAGAAAGUCGUCAAAAAAGAGAGGUAAAGAAACUGCUGUCAAAAGAAGCUGGACAACAGAUGAAUGUGCGGCAGUAGAAAGGCACCUAAGGAAAUUCAUUGUGAGGAGCCAAGUUCCAGGGAAAAAGGACUGUCAGCGCUGCGUUGAUGCAGAAGCUCAAGCUUUAGGAAAUCGAGACUGGAAGGCGGUCAAAUACUUCAUCAAAAAUCGUAUUUCUGCCAUAAGAAGGAAAGUACAGUGAAAUACAGGUAGCUCAACGUAUUGGAUGCCUUCCCACUAGCAUUCACAUCGGGACAUGUUCUAAGUGUUUUCAACAGUUGACAUUUAGUUGUUUUCAUUGUAUUAUCCUCUUAAAGGGUUAGUUGUCACCAUUUACUCUUAUUUGUCAUUUCAAACCCAUAAGAAAUUAGUUCAUCUUUGGAACACAAAAUAUGUUUUGAAUGUUUCCUCCAUUGUUUGCAUUGCCGCUCUGUCCAUUACUUGAGGGGUUCCGAUUGCAUUAGGCAGUUUGUGAAUGAAUGUGAUGACAUCAAACACCCCAAAGCGCUAACCUCAACAAAACUAAGGAAACGCAUUGCUAUCUGUUCAUCCUAAACUUUCAAGCUUCAGAGCAUUGAUAACGUAGAAGUAAUCCAUGUGGUUUAAUCCCAGUUUUGUGAUGUGAAUGCUCUCUCACUUUAUCCACCCACUUAACAUUAUCCAACAAUUGCAAUAACUGUGAACUGGACUUUGCAUUGAUGCAGCACACUCAAUUAUACACAUUUUCUGGUUAAAAGGGAUUCUUUGCCUCAUAUGCCCUUUUCCUUGUUUGUCAUGUUGCUCUGCCCUGUUUUUGUGCUAAUGUUGAUCUCACUUAAUCAAUCUGUUAUUCAUAUUAUCCACCAAUGCAAUAACUCUGAACUGGACUUUGCAUCGCUGCAGCGCACACAAUUAUACAAAUUUUUCCUGGUUACCAAUGAUUAUUCACCUCAUGUGAUUUUUGUGUUAUUACCAAAUAUAUGUUCAUUGUGCAAUACCAAAUAUAUGUUCAUUGAGGACAAAUCAUGUUUUAAAGUUGUUGUUUUUUAAUCCAGUGUUUAGUGUAAAAUAUUACUCACGGUAUUAGUGCUAUAAUUCCACAGGGUCUUAAAGUCUUUAUUCAUUAGAUGAAUAGGGAGUUUUCAUGUGAAGUCCUCAAUUUAAAGGAGUAUAUUAUCUUUAGGUCGCAGUCAACAUGACUGGCUAGGAACAUGACUUCAUUAGAAAUUGAAGAAAAAUAACCAUGGGACAAACAAGAUCCCCUUCAGCAAAACUGCACAGUUCAUUCAGUGACCAAUACAAUGCAGACAAAGUACAGUUGGCGUCCUGCAGACUGAAGCAGUUCAGGCUGUGACCAAUAUUUGAGGGCUCAUUGAUUUAGAAAAGUCUCUGGAGUGGCUUUUUUUAUGCCAUGUUAAUGGCUAAACUAAUAUAGACGUGUGCGGAUUAAUUUAGAGGAUAUGCAUUAUAAUCUAAAAAAGUUUAUAUGGUAAUCAAGGGCAAAUAAUGGAAGUAGUUGAUGUUUCACAGAUAGUGACUUUGGUCCCUUCUAAGAUAUAAAGAUUAGAAAUGUGUGUGUAUCUGUGAAAGUGGACCCCACAACUCCUAAAUGUUAAAUCCGGGCCCCACAAAUGACUCAAAAACGCAUGUGCAAACAAUUUUGUUUGAAUUUUGGUAUAUUGAAGUGAUAUUUCUUAUUAGGAAUUUUUUGUUAUCUUGCUUGAUUUUUUACAAGUCUGUAGAACCACUGGAAGUGGUGGACCCCACAAUUGGGCAAAAAACGGUGGUCCCCCUUAUGGUAGAAAAACAAGUAUGUGUGUGUGUGUGUGUGUGUGUCUGAAAGCGUGCGUUUGAUUCAUAUCCAUGUUUCAUUACAGCUGACAGUGACAUGAAGCCACAGCAACAUCUAUUUUCUCUCUCGUUCUUUCUCUUUCAUAGGUGGGCUUAUACGUAUCACUAUGCAGUGGAGCAAUAGAAUCCAAUGCAGUGUGAGGGAAUGCAUCGGAUGAUGUGAAAAACCUCUUGCAUCACUCCAUACUAACCCAACCCAUCUCUCUAUAUAGUAAAGUGAAAGUGAAAGUGAAAGUGAAUCUGACGUGACAUACAGCCAAGUAUGGUGACCCAUACUUGGAAUUCGUGCUCUGCAUUUAACCCAUCCAAAGUGCACACAUACAGCAGUGAACACACACCGUGAACACACACCUGGAGCAGUGGGCAGCCAUUUAUGCUGCGGAGCAGUUGGGUGUGCAGAUAGCACUGUACAUUCACUCCCCCCACCUACAAUCCCUGCCGGCCCGAGACUUGAACUUGAACGUAAAGACUGCAUGCUAACACUAAUGUUCAAAAGGUUGGUGUCAGCAUUUUUUUUUUUUUUUGCCUUUGAAUUCAUUAAGGAUGCAUUAAAUUGAGCAGUACAACUGUUGUUAACAUUGUAAAUUUCAACAAAUCAUACUGACCCCUCGAUGGCAAACAGGUGUGAGAUAAUUAAUGAACAACUAAAAAAAAAAAAACUAAAGAUUAAACAUGAACAAAGAAGAGAGGAAAAAGGAAGGUUAGCAAAAUAAAAGUCCUUCAAAACUAAAUCAAAACAAACUGGACUAAACAUACCUGUGACAGAUAUAUUGUUAU
ensembl:lncRNA